rnacentral:lncRNA from 1 species
GACUAAGACACCUGCACAUCCCAGCUGCAUGCGUGGGUCCUGACAUCGGUGUCUUUGCUGUACCACAUCCACCCAUCUGCCACAGGAGCACUGGGGAAAUCUGUGCACUCACAAAGCUCUGGAGCAGAGAGAGCCAGCUCUGAAAAUACCUCCUGAAAUAUCCCGACUGUCAAGAUCUAGCCAGGAUUUACCAGGCGGUGUGGCUCUUGGUACCAGGAGAGGGCAUCAGAGACAGCUCCUGUGUCCUGCUGUGCCACUGCAGAGCAGCCACCCCUCCUGGGUACCUGUGCAGGGAAGGGACAGCCUUCCCUGGAUGGCAGCUUUCUGUGCAGUGUGUGCAGCCUGUGAAAGCUCUUGGGAAUA